rnacentral:rRNA from 1 species
GACGAACGCUGGCGGCGUGCUUAACACAUGCAAGUCGAGCGAGGUGAUUCCCUUCGGGGAUGAAGCUAGCGGAGGACGGGUGAGAAACACGUGGGCAACCUGCCUUAUAGAGGGAGAUAGCCUUCCGAAAGGAAGAUUAAUACCGCAUAACAUCAGAUGAUCGCAUGGUAGACUGAUCAAAGGAGAAACCCGCUAUAAGAGGGGCCGGCGGCGAAUUAGCUAGUUGGUGAGGUAACGGCGCACCAAGGCGACGAUGCGUAGGGGACCUGGGAGGGCGAUCGGCCAAAUUGGGACUGAGACACGGACCAGACUCCUACGGGAGGCAGCAGUGGGGAAUAUUGCACAAUGGGGGAAACCCUGAUGCAGCAACGCCGCGUGAGGGAUGAAGGCCUUCGGGUUGUAAAGCUCUUUGAGCAGGGACGAUAAUGACGGUACCUGAAGAACAAGCCACGGCUAACUACGUGCCAGCCGCCGCAGUAACAC